rnacentral:rRNA from 1 species
GAUGAACGCUAGCGGGAGGCCUAACACAUGCAAGCCGAGCGGGAUUUGAGACUAGCUUGCUAGUCUUAAUGAGAGCGGCGUACGGGUGCGGAACACGUGUGCAACCUGCCUUUAUCUGGGAGAUAGCCUUUCGAAAGGAAGAUUAAUAUCCCAUAAUAUAAUGAUUGGCAUCAAUUAUUAUUGAAAGCUCCGGCGGAUAGAGAUGGGCACGCGCAAGAUUAGAUAGUUGGUGAGGUAACGGCUCACCAAGUCGAUGAUCUUUAGGGGGCCUGAGAGGGUGAUCCCCCACACUGGUACUGAGACACGGACCAGACUCCUACGGGAGGCAGCAGUGAGGAAUAUUGGACAAUGGGUGAAAGCCUGAUCCAGCCAUCCCGCGUGAAGGAUUAAGGACCUAUGGUUUGUAAACUUCUUUUCUACAGGGAUAAACCUGCUCUCGUGAGAGUAGCUGAAGGUACUGUAGGAAUAAGCACCGGCUAACUCCGUGCCAGCAGCCGCGGUAAAAC